AACCCGACUAUAAGUUUCCUCGCCAAAUAGAGCGAGUCAAGUUGCGCGAAAUGUUUGUUUGCGAUAAAAGAAAUCAUUGAGUAAGGUUUAGGAAUGAAGUUAUCAAAUCGUGAACGAUAUAAUAGGGACUAGCAUACCAGUAUACCAGUAGAAUGAUCCGGAAAAAUUGAUUAACUCGUAUGAUAUAAAAAUAUCAUAUACAGUUUUGCAUCCAAGGCAACACUGUUUUCGUUAAUCUUCGUUACUUUAUGUUUGUAGGUGUAAAAUCACAUACGAACGCGUAGAUUGGAAUUAAAACAUCAGUCUCGCCGCAGGUAGUUCGUGAUUGUCUAUCGUUGAGUGAACACCGCAAGUCCCGUAAUCCGGUUUCGUGAUGUCGUGUCGUGAAAGAAAAAGUUUACAAUCAUUGAUUAUCCCGUGUUUCAAGUAUUGCCGCAAAGUUCUCAAUAUGUUUGAGGUAAAUAAAGUUCCGUUUCGUUAUCGUAUCAUUUCUCCCAAAUUGAUUAAUUGUAUCAAUAAAUCACAAAAGCGCGAUUACAUCCUUUUGUGAUAAUAGAUACUGGGCAGAUGAUAGCAAAAUCUCUGCCAUUUCAAAAGCGACCAGCAAGUGAGCCAGAUAGGAAAGUUAGAGUUGAAGAUUAUUUUGUGAGUUAGCCAGUUUAUUACUGAAGACCAAAACCUUCGCAAGAAGGUUUUUAUUUCGGACAGGUGUUCCGUGGCCGAUUUUCGACAUUGUCGCCUCGCCAAGCUUACGGCUGGCCAUUGCCAAGUCCGUUGGCGAUCGCACGUGUGCUGUGCAAACUGCAGCAGCGAGGAGCGUCGUGUUAUUCCGUACGGGCACGAGUAAUUGCCCGGGACCAGCGAAGCCAGCCUUAA